GCAUGAAAUGCCUGUUCUUUGGUACAGCGGGUGGGGGCUGCUCUUCCUUCGCGCCGGAGCCGUUCAAAAGCCAACAGACAAGACUAGACCACGUGGAAAGUGGGGUGCUCUGAUAAUUCUAAUUAAUAAUUCGGCUUUUGAACGGCUCCGGCGCGAAGGAAGAGCAGCCCCCACCCGCUGUACCAAAGAACAGGCAUUUCAUGCCUGUCCUUUGGCACGUAGCGGGUGGGGGCUGCUCUUCCUUCGCGCCGGAGCCGUUCAAAAGCCGACAGACAAGACCGGACCACGUGGAUAGUGGGGUGCUCUGAUUUUUGAAUAUAAAAUUUAGAAAAUAAAGUAAACACUUUAUUGUAGUAAAAAUUAGCUUUAUAAGCUGUAGGAAUAAAAAAUUAAUUCUUUAUUAUCAUCGAUUUUUAGUAAGAAUUAGCUUUAUUGUAGUAGGAAUAAAAAAAAACAAUUCUUUAUUAUCAUCGAUUUUUCAUACUAAAAACAAUCGAUUAAUUUUAUGCAAAAUGUCACAUCUCUAGUAAAUCUCUAGUAACCAAUAGAAAAGUAUUAAUUGGAUAACCAAUAGAAAAGUUCGAAAGUUAAAAUGGCGGAUUGUUUACAAAUUUGUACUGUUGCACAAAACAUCAAAAAGUGUUUUUAAAUAUUUAAUUAGUGUAAAUUACAACUCAGAUACCAUAAAUGACUCCAAAUGUCACGGAAGUGUUCAAAUCAAGGCCCCCGAGACCCUAUCUAGGGGUCUGAAUAAGCAAAUUCAAGCAAAAAUUACUCCAAAUCUCACGGAGGUUUUCGAAUCAAGGUCCCCCGAGACUCCUACACACUCAGUUUAAUCACAAUCAAGGUAUUGAAUAUAAGAUCCAACCC